rnacentral:lncRNA from 1 species
AUGUGAGAUGUUAGUAACAUGAGAAAAUGGAUAUGGGGUGUAGGGAACCUCUGUGCAAUAUUUUAGCAAGUUUUUGUAAAUCAAUCCAAAAUUACUCAAAACAUUUAAAAAUCAUUAAAAAUAAAACCUCACAAGUUUAUUUUGAUCAUUGGCCAGAUUUCAGAAUUAAUCAAUUAUUUUACUCUAUAUUUCAGAUGAGAAAACUGAAGCAAUUUGAUUGUAAGCAUUUGUAUAGUUCCAAUAAUUUUGAGAAAUUGAAGUUUUCAAACUAUAAUUAUUAUAAAAUGUGAUAACAAUUUUCUUUGAAAUAUCUCAGAAUUAACCCUGAUUUAGAUUCUGUAGUUAUAGCUGAAGAAUAGCAAUAUAAUAAUUGUAGCUAAUUACAAGUGCUUAUUUUUAAAACCCUUAAAAUGGUAAUGAAAAAUGGAGUGAUUUACAAAGUCUGCUCCCAUUCAUAGUAUUAAAGUUUGUUGCUGGAAUAUUUUUCUGUGUCAUGACAGCACUCAUGCAGUAUGUACAAAGUUAAUAAGAAAUAUGCAUUCUUAAAAAUAAAAAAUUAUUUCUCACUUCCUCUUUUCUCUUUCAGUCCCCUCCCUUAAGUAUUUCUUUAAAGCAUUCAACCUUUCUUCACACUCAUAUUCUGGUCAUUUCAUAGAAGAGAAUCACUUCCAUGCAAAAGAAGUAAAGUCCCACCCAGCACACUUAGCAGCAUAGUGUGUUAUCACAUGGUUUUUUGUUUGCUUUUUGCUGUAUCUUCUAAAAUGUCUCCCACUAUAUUUAACCACCUAACUGGGCAGCUAUCUCCAAUGAAAUGAGCCUUGGAAUUUCAUUCUGGUACUUCCACUUAAUCGGUGUGUGAGAACUUAAGUAUCUAUCUCACACAACUUAUCAAUGCUUCACUUUCCAACUUGCAGUUGGCAAUAGGAUACAUACUUUACAGAGUUGUUGUAGAGAUUAAAUGAGGUGAUAUGUAAGAGAAUUUUCUAAGUCUCUGGUAUUCUGCGGAUAUAAAUCACCCAGUGGCCUUUCUGGAAAUACUUUCCACUUUCUAAGGAAUCCUAUACAUGAGAAAAAAAAAAUGUAUUCAGUUCUCAUUUAUCCUCAGUAGUCAAAUCAGUUUCUCCUAGGGACUAAGCCACGCCUGGAUAAAGCCAACUCUAGAUUAAGUGAAGCCAGCAUUCGUCUUGUAGGUUCUUGCUACUAAAGUUCUAAAUGUUAUUCUUCCCCAAUAUAGACAUGGUGAAAAUGAAGUAUAGUCUGUUCAGCUACCACUUUCCUUGCACCUGUUUUAAUUUAAUUCUUGAAAAACAACUUCCUUGUAUGUACUUUCCAUAGACUCUAAUGCCAGAGUAAAAUAAAAGAAUAAUAUGAUACUGCACAACCACAAUCAGCUAAUACAAAGCAUCGUUAUUCAACUGUGUUGACACUAAGUUUUGGAAAUUCCCAGUUUAGUGAGCUGGCCUGAAAAAUUUGGUGCCAUUCCCUACCUUUCCCACCAAUGCUUUUGCAUGAGUUUUAUAGCCCAGGGGUUAGAGCCUUUUUUUUUUUUUUAACUGCUGACUGCUAAUUAAACAUCUACUAUCAUACUACCAUACAUGCUGGAUUUCCAUGACACAUAGAGAGAGAGAGAGAUCCUGUGGGUCUCCUUAGAGAAGGCACCUGAAGUUUUCAGAAACAUAGCGGAUACCAAAUACCAACUACAUACAUUCAUUCACUUAUAAACAUCUGCUGAAUGUAUAUAAAGAUGAUAAGAUAUUGGUCUUUGCCUUCAAAUAGCCCAUAGUUUAUUGAGUGGGAGGAAGGGAAAGAAAGAGGAAUGGAAAGAAGAGAAUAAGGGGAGAAAGAAAAAAAGCAGACAGAGGAAAGAGCAAAUUAUUGUUAUAGAGGGAGGAAAAGCCAGUAGUUAAUCACAGAGCAAUAUAGGACUAGAACCUAAAAAAUAUCUGAGAAGGCUUUCUUGAGAAAAUGACAUUUGAGCAGAAUUUUAUAGCUAAUUUAUUUUCAAGCUAACCAAAGCUACCAUUAGAACUUAAUCUCCAUGAGAAAAGGGACUUUGGUUUUUAUAUUUACUGCAUAUCUUCAGUGCCUAGAAAACUAGCUGGUUCAUAGUAUGCUAAAAAUCUUGUGUUAAAUGGAUGAAUAAAUGAGUGUCUGCUUAGCACCAGAAGCCCUUGAAUGAAAAUACUUACUCCCUACAAAGCUGAAUCAUAUCUAAAUAUAUGUGACAGCUCCUGACUCUACUGUUUUUCACAUUUCAAAUAUAGCUAGAACCAGGCUGAUUAGGUAGGUGACUCCAGUUACAUAUAACAAAUUGCCAUGGGGUAUUGAAGAAUUUUAGGAAACAGAAGAAAUCUGAUAAUAAGAAAGAAAACUUCUACAAAAUAGUCUGAAGUUGAGGAAAAGGAGAGUAGACAACUAAAAUUGCCCUCAAACACAUACAUCUACAGGACCUGUUGGGCUGGGCCAAAAGUCAGCAGAAUCUAUAUGAUAAAAACUCAUACUUCUUGGAUCAGAUGAACAGAAAUGGAAUGAAAUAAAAACAGAAACAGGCUGCAUAUGCUCAAUGGCCUUUUUGAGAUACAGUCUGAACUGACUACAUUCCAUUGGACCACAUUCCACAUAAAAUCUUCACUCCAGCAAAACCAUUCUUCAAACUACGGACAUGUGCUGUAUGGGAGAUAUUAUAUUAAAAAUACAGAUGAUUAUGGAAUAUACUAUUCCCCAUUUUCUUUCUUUUUUUUUCCCAACCAUCAUUGAAGUGUUCACCCCACUGGAAAGCAUUUCUUCCCUCCUGCAUCUGUGUUUCUUUGGUCAGGUUUUUCACUUAACAAUAUAGUCUGUACUUAUUUUUGUACAUCUUAGAUUCCUAGUAGAAUGUGAGUUCCUUGUGCACAUAAACUGUGUCUUUCCAAUCUUGUAUCUGACCCCGUAUCUUCUAACUUCCCCUAUAUACUUAAAGAAACGUAUACAUAAACAUUUGUUGAGUGAACUCAGAAAAUUAUAACCUGAUAUUUUCAGGGGAAAGACUUCCCGUUGUGGUUCAGCGGUAACAAACCCAACUAGUAUCCAUGAGGACGUGGGUUGGAUCCCUGGCCUUGCCAAUGGGUUAAGGAUACAGUGUUGCUGUGAGCUGUGGUGCAGGUCUCAGACACUGCUGGGAUCUGGCGUUGCUGUGGAUGUGGUAUAGGAUGGCAGCCACAGCUCAGAUUUAACCCCUAUCCUAGGAACUUCCAUAUGCCAUGGGG